rnacentral:rRNA from 1 species
CGCUGGCGGCGUGCCUAAUACAUGCAAGUAGAACGCACAGUUUAUACCGUAGCUUGCUACACCAUAGACUGUGAGUUGCGAACGGGUGAGUAACGCGUAGGUAACCUGCCUGGUAGCGGGGGAUAACUAUUGGAAACGAUAGCUAAUACCGCAUAAUAUUGAUUAUUGCAUGAUAAUUGAUUGAAAGAUGCUAUUGCAUCACUACCAGAUGGACCUGCGUUGUAUUAGCUAGUAGGUGAGGUAACGGCUCACCUAGGCGACGAUACAUAGCCGACCUGAGAGGGUGAUCGGCCACACUGGGACUGAGACACGGCCCAGACUCCUACGGGAGGCAGCAGUAGGGAAUCUUCGGCAAUGGACGAAAGUCUGACCGAGCAACGCCGCGUGAGUGAAGAAGGUUUUCGGAUCGUAAAGCUCUGUUGUAAGAGAAGAACGGGUGUGAGAGUGGAAAGUUCACACUGUGACGGUAUCUUACCAGAAAGGGACGGCUAACUACGUG